GUAGAAGCCUAACUAAGGUGAAACCGCGAAUGGCUCAUUAAAUCAGUCAUGAUUUACUGGCCGAGACAGUGAUACAUGGAUAACUGUGGCAAAUCUAGAGCUAAUACAUGCAACCGAGCUCUAGCCCGUUCGGAUUUCGGUCUGGCGGCGGAGCGCUUUUAUUGGCUGAAAACCAAUGGUCCAGUGCCGGUAAAACGGCCUGGGUCGUUAUCUGUUGAAUCACAAUAACAUUGUGUGGAUCGUACGGUCUAGCACCGACGACGCGCCUUUCAAAUGUCUGCCCUAUCAGCUCUCGACGGUUAGCUAGUGGCUGACCGUGGCCGUGACGGGUAACGGGGAAUCUGGGUUCGAUUCCGGAGAGGGAGCCUGAGAGACGGCUACCACAUCUAAGGAAGGCAGCAGGCGCGUAACUUACCCACUCCCAGUUCAGGGAGGUAGUGACAAUAAAUACCUUAAGGAGAUGCUGUUUACCAGUAUUUCCCAAACGGAAUGAGUACAACGUGAAUCCUUUAACGAGGAUCAACUGGAGGGCAAGCCUGGUGCCAGCAGCCGCGGUAAUUCCAGCUCCAGUAGCGUAUAUUAAAGCUGUUGCGGUUAAAAAGCUCGUAGUUGGAUAUCAGUGUGUGUCGGGUCCGGUAUGUCUGGUGUGGCGUUCGCGCGUCGCGCUGGACAAUCAAGUACCGGCUGGCCACAUUACAAUCGGCCGGAUUUUGUUGACGGGCCGCUCUUCCACGAGGGGCCUGUUGGCAGCCGGCAACGUUACCUUGAACAAAUUCGAGUGCUCAAAGCAGGCUAUGUAUGCCUGUAGAUAUAUUCAUGGAAUUGGAGAAUACGUCCCUGACUCGAUUUGGUUGGUUUUGAGAGUCGAAGGGAAAUGAUUAAUAGGGACUGACGGAGGCAUUCGUAUUGCGGCGCGAGGGGUGAAAUCCUGUGACCGUCGCACGACGAACUACUGCGAAAGCAUUUGCCGAGAAUGUUUUCAUUAGUCAAGAACGAAAGUUAGAGGUUCGAAGGCGAUCAGAUACCGCCCUAGUUCUAACCGUAAACGAUGUCGACCAGCAAUCCGCAACGGUCAAUCUCAGGACUUUGCGGGCAGCUUCCCCGGGGAAACCAGAGUUUUCAGACUCCGGGGGGAGUAUAGGUGCAAAACAGAAACUUAAAGGAAUUGACGGAAGGGCACCACCAGGAGUGGAGCUUGCGGCUUAAUUUGACUCAACACGGGACAACUCACCAGGCCCGGACACUGUAAGGAUUGACAGACUGAGAGAUCUCUCUUGAUUCAGUGGGUGGUGGUGCAUGGCCGUUCUUAGUUGGUGGAUUGAUUUGUCUGGUUUAUUCCGAUAACGAACGAGACUCUGGCCUACUAAUUUUGACGUCUGUCGUACUUUACUGUACGGCGACGCGCUUCUUAGAGGGAUCAUCGGACAUUCCAACAGCCGAAGGAAAGAGAGCAAUAACAGGUCUGUGAUGCCCUUAGAUGUUCUGGGCUGCCCGCGUGUUACACUGAAGUGGUCAACGCGCUGUUCAACGUCCCUCUCCGUGAGGAGCGGGCAAACGUUUGAACCCUUUUCGUGAUGGGAAUUGGGGGUUGCAAUUGUCCCCCAUGAACGAGGAAUUCCUAGUAAGCGCAGGUCACUAGCCUGCGUUGAUUAAGUCCCUGCCCUUUGUACACACCGCCCGUCGCUACUACCGAUUGGAUGAUUUGGUGAGGUCGUCUAGACUGGUCGCUGGCUUCGGCCAAAGCGACUGGAAAGACGCCCAAACUUGGUCGUCUAGAGGAAGUAAAAGU
rnacentral:rRNA from 1 species